rnacentral:rRNA from 1 species
AUCGAACGCUGGCGGCAGGCCUAACACAUGCAAGUCGAGCGGAUGCAGCGAGCUUUCUCCUGGAUUCAGCGGCGGACGGGUGAGUGAUUCCUAGGAAUCUGCCUGGUAGUUGGGGAUAACGUCCGAUCACGGGCGCUAAUACAGCAUACGAUCUGACGUAGAACGUCGGGGUUCUUCGGAGCUAACGCUAUCAGAUGAGUCCAGGUCGGAUUAGCUAGUUGGUGGGGUAAAGGCCCACCAAGGCGACGAUCCGUAACUGGUCUGAGAGGGUGAUCAGUCACACUGGAACUGAGACACGGUCCAGACUCCUACGGGAGGCAGCAGUGGGGAAUCUUGGGCAAUGGGCGAAAGCCUGAUGCAGCCAUGCCGCGUGUGUGAAGAAGGUCUUCGGAUCGUAAAGCACUGUAGUUUGAGAGGAAGGACAGUAAGUUGAACCGUUACAGUUUUGACGUUACCAACAGAAUAAGCACCGGCUAACUACGUG